CGUGUAGGCGGUUUGUUAAGUCUGAUGUGAAAGCCCUGGGCUCAACCCAGGAAGUGCAUUGGAAACUGGCAGACUUGAAUACGGGAGAGGGUAGUGGAAUUCCUAGUGUAGGAGUGAAAUCCGUAGAUAUUAGGAGGAACACCGGUGGCGAAGGCGGCUGCCUGGACCGAUAUUGACGCUGAGACGCGAAAGCGUGGGUAGCAAACA
rnacentral:rRNA from 1 species